rnacentral:rRNA from 1 species
UACAGAGGGUGCGAGCGUUAAUCGGAAUUACUGGGCGUAAAGGGCGCGUAGGCGGUUUAAUGAGUGUGAUGUGAAAGCCCUGGGCUUAACCUGGGAAGUGCAUUGCAAACGAUUGGACUGGAGUAUAGGAGAGGGUGGCGGAAUUUCCGGUGUAGCGGUGAAAUGCGUAGAUAUCAGGAGGAACACCGGUGGUGUAGACGGCUCUCUGGACCGUAACUGACGCUGAGACACGAAAGCGUGGGUAGCAAACAGG